AUUGAACGCUGGCGGCAGGCCUAACACAUGCAAGUCGAGCGGCGGCGGAAAGUAGCUUGCUACUUUGCCGGCGAGCGGCGGACGGGUGAGUAAUGUCUGGGAAACUGCCUGAUGGAGGGGGAUAACUACUGGAAACGGUAGCUAAUACCGCAUAACGUCGCAAGACCAAAGAGGGGGACCUUCGGGCCUCUUGCCAUCAGAUGUGCCCAGAUGGGAUUAGCUAGUAGGUGGGGUAACGGCUCACCUAGGCGACGAUCCCUAGCUGGUCUGAGAGGAUGACCAGCCACACUGGAACUGAGACACGGUCCAGACUCCUACGGGAGGCAGCAGUGGGGAAUAUUGCACAAUGGGCGCAAGCCUGAUGCAGCCAUGCCGCGUGUAUGAAGAAGGCCUUCGGGUUGUAAAGCACUUUCAGCGGGGAGGAAGGUGUUGAGGUUAAUAACCUCAGCAAUUGACGUUACCCGCAGAAGAAGCACCGGCUAACUCCGUGCCAGCCGCCGCUGUAACAC
rnacentral:rRNA from 1 species